CUUUUUCAUCAAGUAUUAUGCCGUCGCCGGCAUAUCAUUUGUUUUCUUUCGGCCUCUCGCGUAAUUUAUCAUAGAUCUCUUUUUUUACUUGUUGAUCUUUUCUUCUUGAUUUUUCUCAAACAAAUUUCGACCGUACCGUUUCUUGAUCUACGUUUCGGUAACUCGUUUCUUUUCCCGCUUAAAGUUUCGUGCCAAUAUUGGCCAUGAAUUUGUUGUCUAUGUCGCAUGUUCAGAUUCUCGUUUUCGUUUCGGAUCGGAUAAGUUUGAGCGAUCCGAUCCGCAAAUGGGAAAUCGUUCCUCCUGAAUCCAGUUUCGUUUCCGAUCUUGGUUCUUGUUCUGUUCACAUAACAUCAGCUCAGUCUCAAUUUCUUAUCCGAUCGGGAAAGACCGGAAAUCUUCCCUCAUGAAUUUUACUGGUCAUGGCUCUGGAUCUGUUCAUACCGAAACGUAACAAUCUCGUUUCCAUUUCGGAUCGGGAAAGAUCGGAAUGUUCUCCCUCAUCAAUCCGGCAAGAAGAUAAACCGUCGCUAAUUGUCAACGGAGCAAUUGCUUAAUUUUGUUCGUACGAUUCUCUGCUUAAGUUGCUUGGAUUGUGAUGAAGACGAUGGAUGAUCCACAUAAUCAUGAAACUGAUACUCUCCUUGUAAGUUGUUAUAAUAAUUUCAUCAUGAAGACAAUGGAUCUAGGCUGACCGAGGGAAGCUAGGAAAGAGUGAGAUCUAAGGUAUAUAAUCUGUUAAUAUUAUGAGUGUUUGUUCUCAGACCUUUGCCAUUGCAGGUGCGCUUGCAUGGCAGGUCAAAAAAGCCCUAAUAAAUUAAUUUUUUUGGGUUUUGUGGGGGAAGAGGUACGGGUUUUUUUUCCUUUUCCCGCCCGGCUCUUCCCCCUUCUGCGGGCUCUCUCUCUCUCUCUCUCUCUCUCUCUCUCUCUCUCUCUCUCUCUCGUUUAUUCUGUCUGGUCUAUGCUUGCAUAUCUACAUUUGCACGCCAAUCAUAAUUUGGUGGCACGGAUAAGGCCAACAAGGAUACCAAUCUCAAUCUGGCUUCACGAAGAAGGUAAUUAACAGCUCUCGACCCACUUAUUGAUUCUUUAAUUUCAAAAACAAUAUGCAGAAAAUCUACAGAAAACAAAAUCAUUCUUACAAGGGUACAUUUGAUGAUGAUCGCUCUGUUUCAUACACUUAUCAUAACAUAGUUUAACAACGAUCAAGGGAAACAUUCUCACCAGUGACAUCAAGAAAUUAGUUGCACACACUGACAUCAAGAAAGAAUUUGCUAUUUAUUUGUCAUAUUUAUGUUUCCUAAUGGCUAAAGAUAGAAAUGAGGUACUGAAGCUCUAUUGGAAGCCCCUUUUCAGUCUAUCAUGGCAAUCGGGAAAAUCUACAAAAUGGAAUGGUUCCCAAACAUAUACUAUAGUUGUAACAAAAAACAUUCCAACAUUGUGUUAUAUAAAUUAUGAAGAUGUAGCAUUUUUUGCAAGGCCUUCAAAUUACUAUUAUUUAGUGUGGAUCUCCGUUUAAUUUAUAUGCUCAGGGCGCAUUUAUUUACCAUAUUCAUGUUUCCUGGUGGAUAACGAUAUAAAGAAACGCUUCUACUGUGCAUUUAUGCCCCAUUUGAGUUUUACAUAACAACCAGGAGAAUCUCACUAAAUUGAAUCGAAGUUUUUAUGAGAAUUCUCAAUCUCUUGGAGCCGAGUGUUUUUUGUGCUAUUAAUUUGAUUUUCUCCUGAUUCGUAUGCUAUAUUUGAUAGUGUGAUUAUUUUGUGAAUUUGUGGAUGUGAUAUGUUAUCACAGUAUUCAAGGCAAAAUGUAUCAUUAGUUUGGUUUGUUUGUGUAAUGGCAUGGGGAUAGAUAGUGAUAGACAUGAUCCUUGGUGCUGUAAUGGGGGAUGGUCUGUGAGUAGUCUGUUCCCCUAUAAAAACUUUACUUUCCUACCAGCUUGGAACGUGGUUGUCUCUCUAAGCAUAAUAUAAAUCGUAUGGUUCACGAAUCCUAAAACAAUAUGUUCCACCAUGGACUUCUCUUUUGGAAGAGCGCCAGCCUGUUUUAUGAACUGUCAUGUGGAAGAAUGCAGUUCUGAUCUGAGAGUUGGUUUACGACAAGCUUCUCAUGUGGAAGAGUGCAGAGGCUGUCCUGCUGGUUGACGCAUUGGAAGAACACAGUUUUGAGGCUGAAUAUAUAAUUGCUGUUCAGCUGUUCAUGGAUGGAGCACGUGAUGGAGAUGUAGUUUGUUGAUCUCUGCUAUUCUUGUGCUGUGCUCGUCCCUUUGUAAUUUGGUGAUCAUCAGAGGCAAAAACAACAUAAUGGAAAUGCUCGCUUCUUUUGUGCUCUAGUAUUUGGUGAUCAGCAAAAGGCAAAGACAGCAUAACUCGUGUUGUUUUUAGAAAUUUGGUUUGGGCCUUGUCAAUUAUCCAGCGGUGUUUUUUUUUUAAUUGAAGGAGAUUGAAAUUCAGUUUGUUUGGAUCAAAGGUAAAUUGCAACGAGUUCUGGAAUUGUCUCUAUUGGAACCCACUAUGCAUGCGUAUUUGUCAUCUAUUUGAAAUUAGCCGUAUUGUGUUGUCUGUUGUGUGGAUGCCCAUUGUUGACCAUUUUUGCCUGGACUGGCGGUUCUUUUGGCCCUGCUGCGGUUCUUUUUGCCCUUCCUCGUCUCCCUCUCCCUGUAAGUAAUGCGUUAAUGUGACCAUGAGGGGGGCUGUGAAAUAUUAUGUAAUUAUAUUGAUGCUUUUUGUUCCAAAUAAAUUAUUGUCAUUGGAGACGAUUAUUAUUAU